GGGUAUAGCUCAGUGGUAGAACACAUGCUUAGCAUGCAUGAGGUCCUGGGUUCAAUCCCCAGUACCUCCA
rnacentral:tRNA from 1 species